UCACUUAUUAUUGAUCUACCAACAAUACGGAUUGCCACAGAUAACUUUGCCGAAGAUCAUAAGCUUGGUGAAGGAGGAUUUGGUGCAGUUUACAAGGGCUCCCUUCCUGAUGGUCAAGAUAUAGCUGUGAAACGCCUCUCUCGGUUUUCUCAACAAGGAAUAGGGGAACUAAAAAAUGAGCUAGUCUUAAUUUCCAAUCUGCAGCACAAAAACCUUGUGAGACUUAUUGGUGUCUGCUUGCAAGAGGAUGAGAAGCUUCUUGUCUACGAGUACAUGCCAAACAAAAGUCUGGACACGUUUCUUUUUGAUUCCGAGAAACGCAAAGAGUUACAUUGGGGGAGGAGACUCAUGAUAAUAGAUGGAAUUGCUCGUGGAUUGCAAUAUCUACAUGAAGAUUCUCUAUUGAAGAUAGUCCACCGGGAUCUAAAGGCAAGUAACAUUCUAUUGGAUGCAAACAUGAAUCCAAAAAUUUCAGACUUUGGCUUGGCAAAGCUUUUUGGAGGGGAUCAAUCACAAGACAUCACAAAUCGAGUUGUUGGAACAUAUGGAUACAUGGCACCAGAAUACGCUCUACGGGGGCGGUAUUCUAUAAAAUCAGACAUAUAUAGCUUUGGUGUGUUGAUUUUGGAGAUACUCACCGGAAGGAAAAAUAGUGACACCUACAAUUCUGACCAACUUAUUGAUCUGCCAAGUCUGGUAUGGGAAUACUGGACAAUGAAAUCAAUUAUGGAGAUGAUUGACCCUUACUUGAGAGGCGAUUCCUCGCAGGAAGAGAUUUUGAGGUGCGUUCACAUUGGACUAUCAUGCGUUCAGGAAGACCCUGCUGAGAGGCCAACUAUAUGGACGAUCAAUGUCAUGCUGGAUAGCAACACAAUCCCGUCCCACCCACCAUCCAAGCCAGCAUUCUACGUAGAAAUGGGUGCAAACUUUGUCUCAGAAGGUAUCAAUGAUUCAACGCCCAAGUCGAACGCGGCGUCACUGAAUGAGCUAUCAAUAACAGAUCCAGAACCAAGAUAA
rnacentral:rRNA from 1 species